rnacentral:rRNA from 1 species
AGCCGCGGUAACACGUAGGGGGCGAGCGUUGUCCGGAGUUACUGGGCGUAAAGGGCGUGUAGGCGGCGGGAAAAGUCAUGUGUGAAAUUUGCCGGCUCAACCGGCAAACUGCGCGUGAAACUUUCCGGCUUGAGUUCGGGAGGGGCAACCGGAAUUCCUGGUGUAACGGUGAAAUGUGUAGAUAUCAGGAGGAACAUCGGUGGCGAAGGCGGGUUGCUGGACCGAAACUGACGCUGAUACGCGAAAGCGCGGGUAGCAAACAGGAUUAGAUACCCUGGUAGUCCGCGCCGUAAACUCUGAGCGCUAGAUGCGGGGGGUAUCGACUCCUUCCGUAUCGCAGUUAACGCAUUAAGCGCUCCGCCUGGGGAGUACGGCCGCAAGGUUAAAACUCAAAGGAAUUGACGGGGGCCCGCACAAGCGGUGGAGUAUGUGGUUUAAUUCGAUGAUACGCGAGAAACCUUACCUGGAUUUGACAUGUCCGGAAUCUUUUGGAGACAAGAGAGUGCCUGCUUGCAGGAGCCGGAGCACAGGAGGUGCAUGGCC